rnacentral:rRNA from 1 species
UACGUAGGGUGCAAGCGUUGUCCGGAAUUAUUGGGCGUAAAGGGCGCGUAGGCGGCUCGGUCAGCGUGCGGUGAAAGCCCGGGGCUCAACCCCGGGUCGGCCGUGCGAACUGCUGGGCUGGAGCACUGUAGAGGCAGGUGGAAUUCCGGGUGUAGCGGUGGAAUGCGUAGAGAUCCGGAAGAACACCGGUGGCGAAGGCGGCCUGCUGGGCAGUAGCUGACGCUGAUGCGCGACAGCGUGGGGAGCAAACAGG